UCUUGCCGCUUUCUUGGACGUUUCCUCCCUAAACUUGGCGGCGCGCAAGCGCCGCCUUUUCUUUUUCGGCG
rnacentral:sRNA from 1 species